AUUCCAGCUCCAAUAGCGUUUAUUUAAGUUGUUGCAGUUAAAAAGCUCGUAGUCGGACUUUGGCUGAGAACGGUCGGUCCGCCGUUAGGUGUGCACUGACUGGUCUCAGCUUCCUGGUGAGGAGGUGUGCUUCACGGCCACUUAGUCACCGUGGUUACUUUGAAAAAAUUAGAGUGUUCAAAGCGGGCUUACGCUUGAAUAUAUUAGCAUGGAAUAACACCAUAGGACUCCUGUCCUAUUUCGUUGGUCUCGGGACGGGAGUAAUGAUUAAGAGGAACAGUUGGGGGCAUUCGUAUUUCAUUGUCAGAGGUGAAAUUCUUGGAUUUAUGAAAGACGAACUUCUGCGAAAGCAUUUGCCAAGGAUGUUUUCAUUA
rnacentral:rRNA from 1 species